UGUUUUUGUAUCGAUUGUGUUGUUUUGGGAGGUUCCUAGGGUUUGGGGUUGCUUGAAGAUGACGACAACGAAGAAUUCGGCCAAGAUUCUAUCCUAAAUAGUUUUCAUCUGCUGCACUCUUUGUUACUUUAUUUAUUUCCUUCCUGUUCUAUGCUAGAAGGGGAAAAAUAGAAAGAAAUCAUAGAUGGGUUCCGAUAUACCUGCUGAUGUCUUUCUUAUUGAAGAUUGCCCUCAUGAGUGGUGGAGAUCUGGUGGUGGUGGUGCCAGAGGGCUUGGGUGAGCGGAGGGAAGGCGUUGGAGGUGGUGGAGCUCGGGUUCGGGCGGUUUGGGGUUGAAGGAGGUGGUUGUGGGGGUGCUUGGCGGCGUGUGGUCGGAGGGGGAGGUGGUGUUGGGGGUGUUUGGCGCGGUGAGGGAAGGUGAGCGGAGGAGGGUGGUGGCGCAACGGCGGCCACAAUUCGAGCUGUUAUUUGAAUUGUUCCAAAAAGACCCAUUUAUCUUGUUGUGAUAAUUAUGAACAUGAAGGUUAAAACCAUUUAUCUUGUAUUGUUGUGAUAAUUUGAUGUUGAAACUAUGUACUUGUGAAUUUUCUUGUAUUGUUGUGAUAAUUUGAUGUUAAAACUAUGUACUUGUGAUAAUUUGAUGUUGAAACUAUGCUCUGGUGAUUUGUAUGACAGUUGAAAAA